GGUCGCGUAACUCAGUUGGUUAGAGUGUGGUGCUAAUAUCUUGAUUCUCGGAUGAUAUGAAUACGCCAAAGUCGAGAGUUCGAGCCUCUCCGUGACCU